CGAAUGGUUUCGCUGUAUUGUGAUAUUCAUGGCAAUGAAACAAAAAUUCGCUCGUGGCAAUCAUGCAUUCCUGUCUAUCUUACCCUUCUGAACUUUUUGAUGUUGGCUCGAAAUAAUUGGAUAUUCAUCGCAAUUAUUCUAGGUUUGACCUAUACAGGAACGCAAUCGACAGAUUUAUGCAACAUCGAGAAUUCAAUAGUUUGUCAAGAAUUACGUGAUUUGCAAUGCACGAUUGUUAUAUUGAAAUAUUGAUUUGUAAUUGAAGAUAAGACUAAUUUCUCGACAUUACAUGCUUAAACAAAUGAAGAUUAUUGAGGACGCUUGUUACGUGUAAUCAAACUGCGACCUCCACCUCAGCUGCAAUAAUUAAUGUCUUCUAAAUAUUAUUUAUCAUCAUGGACAAAAAACAGAAAAAUGAAAAGUCCUUUACAC
rnacentral:lncRNA from 1 species